rnacentral:rRNA from 1 species
UGACCUCAGAUCGGGCGGGAGCACCCGCUGAAUUUAA